rnacentral:rRNA from 1 species
AUGAUCUCCUUAUCUACCAACACAGACGAACCACUGUGUCAGAAGCACAAUAAGCCGAGUAUAUUCAUCGCCCAUGCAAAGCAAACUCGAAUCCAAAAGUUCAAAGGCAAGAAAAUCCAUGUAAAGCCUAGAAAGUACAUUCUCCGUGGUAAGAGCUAUAUUACUCUUCUCAUUCCAUCAACUCUCGCAACAACUGCUAAAAGAUAUAACUUUGUACAACUUAACAUAGGUGAGCCUUGCAUCCACUACUUAGAUGAGUUUAGUCACCACAUUGCGUGGGGCAACACAGUUAAGCUCUAUAACCAUAAUGUUCGUACACUGUGA